CUAGUCAGACCUUUGGCAUCCAUUCGUUGAGGGGUUAAAACAUUUCAUAUAAUCAUGUGUCAUGAAUGUACCAUAUGUAUGAGUUAUAAGAACUCGUACUUAACCUUAUAUUCGCUAACUAUAUUCUAUCUAUCUGUUAUACACACGAGAAAAGAAUCACCUUCUCAACACGUAUAUAGCAAACAACGCGACACAAACAUCCCC
rnacentral:lncRNA from 1 species